rnacentral:rRNA from 1 species
ACGGGGGGUGCAAGCGUUGUUCGGAAUCAUUGGGCGUAAAGCGCGUGUAGGCGGCUUGACAAGUCAGAUGUGAAAUCCCUGGCUUAACCCAGGAAGUGCAUUUGAAACUGUCUGGCUCGAGUAAGGGAGAGGAAAGUGGAAUUCCUGGUGUAGGUGUGAAAUCCUGAGAUCUCUGGGGGACCACCGGUGGCGAAGGCGACUCACUAGGACGGUUCCGACGUUGAGGCGCGAAAGCUUGGGGAGCAAACAU